UACGUAGGUGGCAAGCGUUGUCCGGAUUUAUUGGGCGUAAAGAGCGUGUAGGCGGCUUUACAGGUCCGUUGUGAAAACUCGAGGCUCAACCUCGAGACGCCGGUGGAAACCGUAAGGCUAGAGUCCGGAAGAGGAGAGUGGAAUUCCUGGUGUAGCGGUGAAAUGCGCAGAUAUCAGGAGGAACACCGAUGGCGAAGGCAGGUCUCUGGGCCGAUACUGACGCUGAGGAGCGAAAGCGUGGGGAGCGAACAGG
rnacentral:rRNA from 1 species